rnacentral:rRNA from 1 species
CAGCCGUAAACUAUGCGCGUUAGGUGUAUCGGUGACCACGAGUCACCGAGGUGCCGAAGGGAAACCGUGAAACGUGCCGCCUGGGAAGUACGGUCGCAAGGCUGAAACUUAAAGGAAUUGGCGGGGGGAGCACCACAACGGGUGGAGCCUGCGGUUUAAUUGGACUCAACGCCGGGAAGCUCACCGGAUAAGACAGCGGAAUGAUUGCCGGGCUGAAGACUCUGCAUGACUAGCUGAGAGGAGGUGGCAUGGCGUAGACGUCU